AAGAGGUGGCGUAGAGUACAGUAUUUGGCAAAUGAAUUCUGGACUCGAUGGAAAAAGGAAUAUCUUUUAAACUUGCAGUCAAGACAAAAGUGGUACUUCUACAAGAUGAUCUGGCACCACGUAAUGAAUGGAAGUUGGCCAGAGUCAUAGACGUCUGCCCAGGGUCAGAUGGAAUGGUUAGAAAACUAAAAUUGAUGGUUAGUGACAGUAAGUUUGACAAGAAAGUGAAACCCAUAACUAAACCUGUGUUUCUUGAAAUACCUAUACAUAAGGUAUGAAAUUUGGGUGGUUAGUAAAAGGAAUGUUUUCAUUGAAAGGUUGAAGUGAAAAGUGUAAAUUAGUAACUAUAUUGCAAUUUGAGAAAUCUCACAUUAAGGGUGUGUGAUUUGGUGGGAGUGUAAGUUUGUCAUUAUAUUGUGUAUAUAUUAUGUUUAUAAGUUGUUUAUAUUUUUCUAAGAUUAUUUUUGUUAUGAAGAAAAUAAGUUACAUUUAUUAUUUGUGAAUUUAUUUUUUGUUAUUUGCUUUGGGACUUUUAUUUUGAAAUGCCGACGUUGUAUUUAAUGGCUGACUGCCUGCAAGGUUUUCAUUUCCUGUAAGCAAGCCAGCGCAAAUACGAAAGUUGAGCAUGUGCUCAAUGGAUGUCUCUUCUUGCAAGGGAUUUGAUCUGAGAUUAAGGAGUAUUCAAGACAAUUUCUUUCAUAUAACAUGCAGCCAACGAGGACAAUGAAGACCAGACAGGAAUUGAACCAAAAGGACAUUGGAAUUGUUAUCGAGGGGGAGAAAGUUGUUACAGGCCUUGAAGGUGUUCCAUGGGCUUGCUAUAUCCUCCUUGAAUUGACGUAUGCACUGAAUCUCCAUUAUCCCAGGAAUGUAAAGUAUAGUUUGAGGUAUUUCAGAAACUUAUUGUGGAGCUGGAUGCUUCAAAGGUGUCAAACGAAAUCUAGUCACUCAGGUCUAAACUGCUGACUUAAAAUAAGAUGGUUUUAUCUGUUCUGUGGUUCCAUGUUGCCAAAGACCUAACAUAUCUGAACAUUUUGUCUAGAAAGAGAAAAAUGCCCCAAAAAGUAACUGCAUUGUGUAUUUUAAACUAUUUGUACCUACAAAGAAACACAAAAAGUAACUUUAUUCUGCAGACUUGAAUUUAUAUGCUUUAGAAAGUAAUUGUGGAUAAAUAAAAAAACCCCAGUUGGUUCUGUUGAGAGACUA
ensembl:lncRNA